AGAACGAACGCUGGCGGCGGGGUUUAGGCAUGCAAGUCGAGCGAGAAAAGCGCAAGCUGAGUACAGCGGCGUAAGGGUGAGUAAUAGGUAGUCAACGUACCGGGCAGACGCGAAUAAUUUCCCGAAAGGGAUUGUAAUGCGCGAUGAGAUCACGGGCUCUACGGGGCAUGGGAUCAAAGGUCGGGGAUCCUUCGGGACCUGGCGCU
rnacentral:rRNA from 1 species